rnacentral:rRNA from 1 species
UGGGGAAUAUUGCGCAAUGGGCGAAAGCCUGACGCAGCGACGCCGCGUGAGGGAUGAAGGUUUUCGGAUCGUAAACCUCUGUCAGAAGGGAAGAAACCGCACUGUGCUAAUCAGCAGUGCCUUGACGGUACCUUCAAAGGAAGCACCGGCUAACUCCGUGCCAGCAGCCGCGGUAAUACGGAGGGUGCAAGCGUUAAUCGGAAUUACUGGGCGUAAAGCGCACGUAGGCUGCUUUGUAAGUCAGGGGUGAAAUCCCACGGCUCAACCGUGGAAGUGCCUUUUUUACUGCUUUGCUUGAAUCCGGGAGAGGGUAGCGGAAUUCCGGGUGUAGAGGUGAGAUCCGUAGAUAUCUGGAGGAAACUCAGUGGCGAAGGCGGCCACCUAGACCAAUAUAGAAGCUGAGGUGCGAAAGCGUGGGGAGCAAACAGG